ACUCCUACGGGAGGCAGCAGUGGGGAAUAUUGCACGAAUGGGGAAACCCUGAUGCAGCCAUGCCGCGUGUGUGAAGAAGGCCUUCGGGUUGUAAAGCACUUUCAGUAGGGAGGAAGGUAGUGUAGUUAACACCUGCAUUAUUUGACGUUACCUACAGAAGAAGCACCGGCUAACUCCGUGCCAGCAGCCGCGGUAAUACGGAGGGUGCGAGCGUUAAUCGGAAUUACUGGGCGUAAAGCGCAUGCAGGCGGCC
rnacentral:rRNA from 1 species